rnacentral:rRNA from 1 species
AGUGAACGCUGGCGGUAGGCCUAACACAUGCAAGUCGAACGGCAGCACAGUAAGAGCUUGCUCUUACGGGUGGCGAGUGGCGGACGGGUGAGGAAUACAUCGGAAUCUACUUUUUCGUGGGGGAGAACGUAGGGAAACUUACGCUAAUACCGCAUAAGACCUACGGGUGAAAGCAGGGGAUCUUCGGACCUUGCGCGAUUGAAUGAGCCGAUGUCGGAUUAGCUAGUUGGCGGGGUAAAGGCCCACCAAGGCGACGAUCCGUAGCUGGUCUGAGAGGAUGAUCAGCCACACUGGAACUGAGACACGGUCCAGACUCCUACGGGAGGCAGCAGUGGGGAAUAUUGGACAAUGGGCGCAAGCCUGAUCCAGCCAUACCGCGUGGGUGAAGAAGGCCUUCGGGUUGUAAAGCCCUUUUGUUGGGAAAGAAAAGCAGCAGGUUAAUACCCCGCUGUUCUGACGGUACCCAAAGAAUAAGCACCGGCUAACUUCGUG